GCGCAAAGGGAACAUAUAAGCCCUUCGGUCCUCAAGAUUCGGCAGUCCAGGAGCUCACGAAGACCACGGCCAAGCUCCUCAGGGUCCUUCUCCCUCGACGCUCCCUUCAGAUGCGGUUCCUCGCCCUCGUCCUCCUCCUGGCUCUCGCCGUCGCCUUCGUCGGCGCCAAGUCCCUGGCCUGCUGUGGCGGCGAGGUCACCACGGCGGUCACGGAGGAGGCAACGGAGGUCACCAUGGAGGUCAUGGCGG